AACCACACUGUCAAUGAAUGGAUUCACCCGCAGGAUGACGUGGUUGUUUUACAUAGGACGAGGUCAUGGCAUCCUAUUACCAGCCAUCGCACGAAAUUAAUAAGGAUAUUCCACGUCAUCAUCCUAGAUGGAACAACCACGUCAUCUCACUGGUGAAUCCAUUCAUCGAUAGUGUAAUU
rfam:Oryza glaberrima chromosome 5 Oglab05_0123_19, whole genome shotgun sequence.